rnacentral:rRNA from 1 species
AUGGCGGCACGAGAGGAGGAAGAUGCUUCGAUCUCUUCAUCCUGGGCGUCAGUUCAGUUCAUGCCCACACUCUGUUUUAGCAGGUCCUCAAUCCUGCUUGAUGGUCGCUUCCCUCGGUACUGUUUGUUGCGGUCUUCUGCUAGUGCAAGCUAUGGGCUUUGUUUUAAUUUUUCUUUCAAGCUUGUGCGCGGCGUUGAGUUAGCACUGGUCCUCACCGUCCUCCUGGCGACCGCCGUUUCCAACGCCGAGGCGGCGUCCGUCGUCGUCGGUCUGGCCAAGUGCGCCGACUGCACCAGGAAGAACAUCAAGGCCGAGGAAGCCUUCAAGGGUGCAAGAACGUCUACGGCGACUACGAGAGCAAGCAAGGCGGUGGGUGCCCUCGACGGCACCGGCGCCUUCAGCGUGCCCCUCGCUUCUGACCUCCAUGGCGCCGACUGCAUGGCUCAGCUCCAUAGCGCCGCAUCCAACGCGCCGUGCCCUGGCCAGGAGCCAUCCAAGAUCGUGCCGGUGUCCGAGGGCACCACCUUCGGUGUCAUCGCCGGCGCCAAUACCGCCACGCCAUCCGUGGCGUCGCUCGAGUGUGCGUCCAUGACCCUGUGCGGGACAAUCAAGAAGCACAUCAUCGAGCACUUCCACCACAAGAAGCCCGUGCCACCGAAGCCGGAGCCCAAGCCCCAGCCUCACCCGGACUACCACCCCGUGCCCAAGCGGCCAAGCCGGAGCCGAAGCCGCAGCCCCACCCAGACUACCAUCCCGUCCCUCCCAUGCCCACCUACGGCGGUGGCGGUGGCGGUGGAUACCAUGGACACCACUGACUCCAGUGAUCCAGUCUCUACCACCUUCCGGGCCAGCACUGAAAUCCCCAUGAAUAAGUGUUAUGAGGGUCAGGGGUCAGUGUGUCAGACAAGUGUGUGGGUGUUGGUGUUUCUUUACCAAGAGAAUGAGGGGAGGGGGGCCAUGCAUGUGAAGAUAGAGAGAAAAGAGAGGAAGACCGGAGGCUUUGUGUUGGUCAAGUGCAUGUCCGGACUCCGGCAAACCCCCCUCCCCCUCCACAUUUGUUACUAG